rnacentral:rRNA from 1 species
GACAGAGGGUGCAAACGUUGCUCGGAAUCACUGGGCGUAAAGGGCGUGUAGGCGGGAAGGAAAGUCGGGCGUGAAAGCCCAGGGCUCAACCCUGGAACUGCCUUUGAAACUAGGUAGCUAGAAUCUUGGAGAGGUCAGUGGAAUUCCGAGUGUAGAGGUGAAAUUCGUAGAUAUUCGGAAGAACACCAGUGGCGAAGGCGACUGACUGGACAAGUAUUGACGCUGAGGUGCGAAAGCGUGGGGAGCAAACAGG